rnacentral:rRNA from 1 species
UACGUAGGGUGCAAGCGUUAAUCGGAAUUACUGGGCGUAAAGCGUGCGCAGGCGGUGAUGUAAGACAGAUGUGAAAUCCCCGGGCUCAACCUGGGAACUGCAUUUGUGACUGCAUCGCUGGAGUACGGCAGAGGGGGAUGGAAUUCCGCGUGUAGCAGUGAAAUGCGUAGAUAUGCGGAGGAACACCGAUGGCGAAGGCAGCCCCCUGGGUCAAUACUGACGCUCAUGCACGAAAGCGUGGGGAGCACACAGG